rnacentral:rRNA from 1 species
UACGUAGGGGGCAAGCGUUGUCCGGAAUUAUUGGGCGUAAAGCGCGCGCAGGCGGUUCUUUAAGUCUGGUGUUUAAACCUAGGGCUCAACCUUGGGUCGCAUCGGAAACUGGAGGACUGGAGUGUAGGAGAGGGAAGUGGAAUUCCACGUGUAGCGGUGAAAUGCGUAGAGAUGUGGAGGAACACCAGUGGCGAAGGCGACUUCCUGGCCUAUAACUGACGCUGAGGCGCGAAAGCGUGGGGAGCAAACAGG